UACGGAGGAGGUAAGCGUUAUCCGGAAUUAUUGGGCGUAAAGCGUCCGCAGGUGGCUAUUCAAGUCUGCGGUCAAAGACUGGGGCUUAACCCUGGAAAGGCCGUGGAAACUGAAGAGCUAGAGUGCAGUAGGGGUAGAGGGAAUUCCCGGUGUAGCGGUGAAAUGCGUAGAGCUCGGGAAGAACAUCGGUGGCGAAAGCGCUCUGCUGGACUGCAACUGACACUCAGGGACGAAAGCUAGGGGAGCGAAUGGG
rnacentral:rRNA from 1 species